AGGACGAACGCUGGCGGCGUGCCUAACACAUGCAAGUCGAACGAGGUCCAGGGAAGCUUGCUUCCUGAAGACCUAGUGGCGAACGGGUGAGUAACACGUGAGAAACCUGCCUCGGAGUGGGGAAUAACUCGGGGAAACUCGAGCUAAUACCGCAUACCUUCACAUGAUCGCAUGGUCGAGUGAAGAAAGAAUUUCGCUCUGAGAGGGUCUCGCGGCCCAUCAGCUUGUUGGUGGGGUAACGGCCUACCAAGGCAACGACGGGUAGCUGGUUUGAGAGAACGAUCAGCCACACUGGGACUGAGACACGGCCCAGACUCCUACGGGAGGCAGCAGUGGGGAAUCUUGCGCAAUGGGCGAAAGCCUGACGCAGCAACGCCGCGUGCGGGAUGACGGCCUUCGUGGUUGUAAACCGCUUUCAGCAGGGACGAAAAUGACGGUACCUGCAGAAGAAGCCCCGGCUAACUACGUG
rnacentral:rRNA from 1 species